rnacentral:rRNA from 1 species
CUGGCGCACCCAGAAACCCUUUGUGAACUUAUACCUUACUGUUGCCUCGGCGCAGGCCGUCCCCCCUGGGGUCCCUCUGGAGACAGAGGAGCAGCCGGCCGGUGGCCAAAUUAACUCUGUUUUUACACUGAAACUCUGAGUACAAAACAUAAAUGAAUCAAAACUUUCAACAACGGAUCUCUUGGUUCUGGCAUCGAUGAAGAACGCAGCGAAAUGCGAUAAGUAAUGUGAAUUGCAGAAUUCAGUGAAUCAUCGAAUCUUUGAACGCACAUUGCGCCCUCUGGUAUUCCGGAGGGCAUGCCUGUUCGAGCGUCAUUUCAACCCUCAAGCCUGGCUUGGUGUUGGGGCACUGCUUUUUCCGAAGAGCAGGCCCUGAAAUAUAGUGGCGAGCUCGCCAGGACUCCGAGCGUAGUAGUUAAACCCUCGCUCUGGAAGGCCUGGCGGUGCCCUGCCGUUAAACCCCAACUUUUGAAAAUUUGACCUCGGAUCAGGUAGGAAUACCCGCUGAACUUAAGCAUAU